AAAAGAAGAGUGGCGAACGGGUGAGUAACACGUGGGUAACCUGCCCAUCAGAAGGGGAUAACACUUGGAAACAGGUGCUAAUACCGUAUANCAAUCGAAACCGCAUGGUUUUGAUUUGAAAGGCGCUUUCGGGUGUCGCUGAUGGAUGGACCCGCGGUGCAUUAGCUAGUUGGUGAGGUAACGGCUCACCAAGGCCACGAUGCAUAGCCGACCUGAGAGGGUGAUCGGCCACAUUGGGACUGAGACACGGCCCAAACUCCUACGGGAGGCAGCAGUAGGGAAUCUUCGGCAAUGGACGAAAGUCUGACCGAGCAACGCCGCGUGAGUGAAGAAGGUUUUCGGAUCGUAAAACUCUGUUGUUAGAGAAGAACAAGGAUGAGAGUAACUGUUCAUCCCUUGACGGUAUCUAACCAGAAAGCCACGGCUAACUACGUGCCAGCAGCCGCGGUAAUACGUAGGUGGCAAGCGUUGUCCGGAUUUAUUGGGCGUAAAGCGAGCGCAGGCGGUUUCUUAAGUCUGAUGUGAAAGCCCCCGGCUCAACCGGGGAGGGUCAUUGGAAACUGGGAGACUUGAGUGCAGAAGAGGAGAGUGGAAUUCCAUGUGUAGCGGUGAAAUGCGUAGAUAUAUGGAGGAACACCAGUGGCGAAGGCGGCUCUCUGGUCUGUAACUGACGCUGAGGCUCGAAAGCGUGGGGAGCAAACAGGAUUAGAUACCCUGGUAGUCCACGCCGUAAACGAUGAGUGCUAAGUGUUGGAGGGUUUCCGCCCUUCAGUGCUGCAGCUAACGCAUUAAGCACUCCGCCUGGGGAGUACGACCGCAAGGUUGAAACUCAAAGGAAUUGACGGGGGCCCGCACAAGCGGUGGAGCAUGUGGUUUAAUUCGAAGCAACGCGAAGAACCUUACCAGGUCUUGACAUCCUUUGACCACUCUAGAGAUAGAGCUUCCCCUUCGGGGGCAAAGUGACAGGUGGUGCAUGGUGUCGUCAGCU
rnacentral:rRNA from 1 species